UACGGAGGGUGCGAGCGUUGUUCGGAAUCACUGGGCGUAAAGCGCGUGUAGGCGGCUUUGCAAGUCGGGUGUGAAAGCCCUCAGCUCAACUGAGGAAGUGCGCCCGAAACUGCAGAGCUUGAGUGCCGGAGAGGGUGGCGGAAUUCCCCAAGUAGAGGUGAAAUUCGUAGAUAUGGGGAGGAACACCGGUGGCGAAGGCGGCCACCUGGACGGUAACUGACGCUGAGACGCGAAAGCGUGGGGAGCAAACAGG
rnacentral:rRNA from 1 species